UAGAGUUUGAUCCUGGCUCAGGAUGAACGCUAGCGGCAGGCCUAAUACAUGCAAGUCGAACGGUAAAUAUUAUAGCAAUAUGAUAUGAGAGUGACGUACGGGUGCGUAACACGUAUGCAACCUACCCUUUACAGGCGGAUAGCUCGGGGAAACUCGAAUUAACCCGCCGUGGUAUAAUUGAAUGGCAUCAUUUGAUUAUUAAAACUCCGGUGGUAAAGGAUGGGCAUGCGUCUGAUUAGUUAGUUGGCGGUGUAACGGACCACCAAGACGAUGAUCAGUAGGGGAACUGAGAGGUUGAUCCCCCACACUGGCACUGAGAUACGGGCCAGACUCCUACGGGAGGCAGCAGUAGGGAAUAUUGGUCAAUGGAUGCAAGUCUGAACCAGCCAUGCCGCGUGCAGGAAGAAGGCCUUAUGGGUUGUAAACUGCUUUUGCCAGGGGAUAAAAUGAGCGUGCGCGCUUAAUUGAAGGUACCUGGUGAAUAAGCCACGGCUAACUACGUGCCAGCAGCCGCGGUAAUACGUAGGUGGCAAGCGUUGUCCGGAUUUAUUGGGUUUAAAGGGUGCGUAGGCGGUCUUUUAAGUCAGUGCUGAAAUACUCCAGCUUAACUGGAGGGGUGGCAUUGAUACUGGAAGACUGGAGUGUAGUCGAAGUAGGCGGAAUUGACGGUGUAGCGGUGAAAUGCUUAGAUAUCGUCAAGAACACCGAUAGUGAAGACAGCUUACUAGGCUACAACUGACGCUGAGGCACGAAAGUGUGGGGAUCAAACAGGAUUAGAUACCCUGGUAGUCCACACUGUAAACGUUGAUUACUCGCUGUGUGCGAUAUACAGUACGCGGCCAAGCGAAAGCGAUAAGUAAUCCACCUGGGGAGUACGCCGGCAACGGUGAAACUCAAAUGAAUUGAC
rnacentral:rRNA from 1 species